rnacentral:sRNA from 1 species
AUGUUUAUCUGAAUCCACUGUAUUUCAUGCAGGUUUGCUCUGUAAAUCCCAGAUCCCCCUCCUCACCGCCCCAGUGUUUAUUUACAUUUCCAGUUUAUUUAUCUUCCAAUUUUAUGUUCUUCCUUUGCAGAAACCUAUCUAAUGGUGGUUAAAUAAACUUGGAUUGGCUGUAAUCCAUCAGGAAUCCACUACAAAGGAUGAAGAAUGUUACAGUGAAAGUGAACAGGAAGAUCCUGAAAUAGCUGCGGAGACACCACCCCCUCCUCAUGCUUCCCAGACUCAGUCUUUGGCUGCACAGCAGGCAUCUUCAUCCUCACCCAGCCUGAGUGGAACAUCGUGUUCUUUCUCUUCCCUGGAAAAUACAAAGAAGACACCCAGCAGUUUUCCUUCCUCCUUAUCUAAAGAGAGACAAUCCUUGCCUGACAAAGUUAACAGUUUGUCUGCUGCUGAAGAUGAGGGACAACCAAUAAUGUUUGCUGUGCAAGUUCAUUCACCUGUACCCUCAGAGGCAGGCAUCCACAAGGCCCCGGAAAAUAGCUUUGUCACAUCAGAAAGUGGAUUUUUGAACUCUCUAUCUAGUGAUGAUACUUCUUCAUUGAGUAGCAAU